AUUGAACGCUGGCGGCAUGCUUUACACAUGCAAGUCGAACGGCAGCACGGAGAGCUUGCUCUCUGGUGGCGAGUGGCGAACGGGUGAGUAAUGCAUCGGAACGUACCGAGUAAUGGGGGAUAACUGUCCGAAAGGAUGGCUAAUACCGCAUACGCCCUGAGGGGGAAAGCGGGGGAUCGAAAGACCUCGCGUUAUUUGAGCGGCCGAUGUUGGAUUAGCUAGUUGGUGGGGUAAAGGCCUACCAAGGCGACGAUCCAUAGCGGGUCUGAGAGGAUGAUCCGCCACAUUGGGACUGAGACACGGCCCAAACUCCUACGGGAGGCAGCAGUGGGGAAUUUUGGACAAUGGGGGGAACCCUGAUCCAGCCAUGCCGCGUGUCUGAAGAAGGCCUUCGGGUUGUAAAGGACUUUUGUUAGGGAAGAAAAGCCGGGUGUUAAUACCACCUGGUGCUGACGGUACCUAAAGAAUAAGCACCGGCUAACUACGUGCCAGCAGCCGCGGUAAUACGUAGGGUGCGAGCGUUAAUCGGAAUUACUGGGCGUAAAGCGAGCGCAGACGGUUAAUUAAGUCAGAUGUGAAAUCCCCGAGCUCAACUUGGGACGUGCAUUUGAAACUGGUUAACUAGAGUGUGUCAGAGGGAGGUAGAAUUCCACGUGUAGCAGUGAAAUGCGUAGAGAUGUGGAGGAAUACCGAUGGCGAAGGCAGCCUCCUGGGAUAACACUGACGUUCAUGCUCGAAAGCGUGGGUAGCAAACAGGGAUUAGAUACCCUGGUAGUCCACGCCCCUAAACGAUGACCAUUAGCUGUUGGGGACACUAGAAUGUUUUUAGUUAGCGAAACCUAAC
rnacentral:rRNA from 1 species